UUUAAAAAGUCGUAAAGUUUGUGAAAUGUGUAAAAGUUUGUGAAAAGUGUCUAGUGAUUAUUGAUGUUAUUAAUCGAUCGAGAUCAACAUCCAGCUUGGAAUCAUGCUAACAAAAGGUUGGUGAGAACAUCAAUUGGCGAUUUGAAUCCUCGGCAGCACUGGAGAAACGAGAAGAUUCAUGCUUUGAGGAUUUCACUUUAUGCCGCUCCCUUCUCGAUAAUCGGCUUAUUGGUAGUUUUUCGCGCACACGUCUCUAACAAGCUGAGCUGGUCAACAGUCCACACCGGAAGCAGAAUUGCGUCGCCGGCAAUUUAGUUGUUAGCAGCGUAACGAGCUCGUCCAUCCCGACUCGAAUGUAGCCAAUUUCUACUUCUCAGCUCAUCAGUACCAUCUCCUGUUU